rnacentral:rRNA from 1 species
GAUGAACGCUGGCGGCGUGCCUAAUACAUGCAAGUCGAGCGAACAGACGAGGAGCUUGCUCCUCUGACGUUAGCGGCGGACGGGUGAGUAACACGUGGAUAACCUACCUAUAAGACUGGGAUAACUUCGGGAAACCGGAGCUAAUACCGGAUAAUAUAUUGAACCGCAUGGUUCAAUAGUGAAAGACGGUUUUGCUGUCACUUAUAGAUGGAUCCGCGCCGCAUUAGCUAGUUGGUAAGGUAACGGCUUACCAAGGCAACGAUGCGUAGCCGACCUGAGAGGGGGAUCGCCCAACUGGGAAUGGAGCCACGGCCAGGCCCCCACGGGGGGGAGGAGGUGGGGAAUCUCCCGAAAGGGGAGAAAGCUGAAGGGACCAACGCCGGGUGAUGGAUGAGGGUCUUCGGAUCGAAAACCUUGUUUAUUGGGAAAAAAAAAAUGUUUAAUUAACUAGGCCGUUCUGGAGGGUCCCAAAAGAAAAAGCCCCGGUUAACUCCGU